CACGUAGGGCGCGAGCGUUGUCCGGAAUUAUUGGGCGUAAAGAGCUCGUAGGUGGCUUGUCACGUCGGGUGUGAAAGCUUGGGGCUUAACUCCAGGUCUGCAUUCGAUACGGGCUGGCUAGAGGUAGGUAGGGGAGAACGGAAUUCCUGGUGUAGCGGUGAAAUGCGCAGAUAUCAGGAGGAACACCGGUGGCGAAGGCGGUUCUCUGGGCCUUACCUGACGCUGAGGAGCGAAAGCGUGGGGAGCGAACAGG
rnacentral:rRNA from 1 species